CCUACGGGAGGCAGCAGUGGGGAAUAUUGGGCAAUGGGCGCAAGCCUGACCCAGCAACGCCGCGUGAAGGAAAAAGGCUUUCGGGUUGUAAACUUCUUUUCUGAGGGACGAAGAAAGUGACGGUACCUCAGGAAUAAGCCACGGCUAACUACGUGCCAGCAGCCGCGGUAAUACGUAGGUGGCAAGCGUUAUCCGGAUUUACUGGGUGUAAAGGGCGUGUAGGCGGGAGGGCAAGUCAGAUGUGAAAACUAUGGGCUCAACCCAUAGCCUGCAUUUGAAACUGUACUUUUUGAGUGCUGGAGAGG
rnacentral:rRNA from 1 species